rnacentral:rRNA from 1 species
UACGUAGGGGCGAGCGUUGUCCGGAUUUAUUGGGCGUAAAGAGCGUGUAGGCGGUUCGGUAAGUCUGUCGUGAAAUCCUGAGGCUCAACCUCGGGCGUGCGAUGGAUACUGCCGGGCUAGAGGGUGGUAGAGGCGAGUGGAAUUCCCGGUGUAGCGGUGAAAUGCGCAGAUAUCGGGAGGAACACCAGUAGCGAAGGCGGCUCGCUGGCCACACCGUGACGCUG